rnacentral:ncRNA from 1 species
UAAAGAAAUUUGACGGAAGGGCACCACCAGGAGUGGAGCAUGCGGCUUAAUUUGACUCAACACGGGGAAACUCACCAGGUCCAGACACAAUAAGGAUUGACAGAUUGAGAGCUCUUUCUUGAUUUUGUGGGUGGUGGUGCAUGGCCGUUCUUAGUUGGUGGAGUGAUUUGUCUGCUUAAUUGCGAUAACGAACGAGACCUUAACCUGCUAAAUAGCUCGACUAGCUUUGGCUGGUUGCUAGCUUCUUAGAGGGACUAUCGGCUCAAGCCGAUGGAAGUCUGAGGCAUUAACAGGUCUGUGAUGCCGUUAGAUGUUUUGGGCCGCACGCGCGCUACACUGACAGAGCCAACGAGUUUCCUCCUUGGUCGAAAGACCUGGGUAAUCUUGUUAAACUCUGUCGUGCUGGGGAUAGAGCAUUGUCAAUUAUUGCUCUUCAACGAGGAAUUCCUAGUAAGCGCAAGUCAUCAGCUUGCGCUGAUUACGUCCCUGCCCUUUGUACACACCGCCCGUCGCUACUACCGAUUGAAUGGCUAAGUGAGGCUUUCGGACUGGCCCGGGGAGAGUGGUAACACUCACCCUGGGCCGGAAAGUUGUCCAAACUUGGUCAUUUAGAGGAAGUAAAAGUCGUAACAAGGUUUCCGUAGGUGAACCUGCGGAAGGAUCAUUA